rnacentral:rRNA from 1 species
AUUGAACGCUGGCGGCAGGCCUAACACAUGCAAGUCGAGCGGAUGAAGGGAGCUUGCUCCUGGAUUCAGCGGCGGACGGGUGAGUAAUGCCUAGGAAUCUGCCUGGUAGUGGGGGAUAACGUCCGGAAACGGGCGCUAAUACCGCAUACGUCCUGCGGGAGAAAGUGGGGGAUCUUCGGACCUCACGCUAUUAGAUGAGCCGAGGUCGGAUUAGCUAGUUUGUGGGGUAAAGGCCUGCCAAGGCGACGAUCCGUAACUGGUCUGAGCGGAUGAUCAGUCACAGUGGAGGUGAGACACGAUCCAGGGUCCGACGGGAGGCAGCAGUGGGUACGAUAGGAAAAUGGGGGAAAGCCUGCACCAGCCAUGCCGCGCGGGUGAAGAAGGGCUUCGGAUUGUAAAGCACUUUACGUUGGGAGGAAGGGCAGUAAGUUAAUACCUUGCUGUUUUGACGUUACCAACAGAAUAGGCACCGGCUAACUCCGU